UUUUGGCCUAAUAGUUGGGUUUGGUUACCUCUUGGUUUUGUAUUUCUUAAAUGGCUCUUACUCCAGUCGAAUUAUGUCUCAUUUGUUUUGAUAUUUCGAAUACUAAUGUUGCCAUUUUUGUUUGUUAUAUGAAUCCCUUCCGAGUCCGUGGUGGACUCCUCUCCUUGCAUUUUCCUAUUGGGCUAUGGAGGCCCAAUUCCACCUUUAUCGAGU
rnacentral:lncRNA from 1 species